UACGUAGGUGACGAGCGUUAUCCGGAAUUACUGGGCGUAAAGCGUGCGCAGGCGGUUUUGUAAGUUUGUCGUGAAAUCCCCGGGCUCAACCUGGGAAUGGCGAUGAAGACUGCAAGGCUAGAAUCUGGCAGAGGGGGGGUAGAAUUCCGGGUGUAGUGGUGAAAUGCGUAGAGAUCCGGAGGAACCCCAGAGGCGAAGGCGGCGCUCUGGCUCGCAACUGACGCUCAGACACGACAGCAUGGGGGAGCAAACAGG
rnacentral:rRNA from 1 species